AUCACCUCAAUUUGAGUUCAUAGUCCAUGUACCCCAAGGGGAGCCUGGUAUAUGCCGCCGCUGGUCCGUAACCGUGAUCGGGGACGAAAUCUGCCAUCAGCCACUGUCCUCUGGGAUGGGAAGGCGCAGAGAGCAGGACAAGCCGAGAGUCAGGAGACCUGGGUACUUGGAGCGUCCACG
rnacentral:ncRNA from 1 species